UCUCAUUAUUGGCAUAAAUUGUUUGCAUCUUAGGAAGCAUAGGAAUCUGGAACUGAAGACAUAUCAGAAAUUCAGUAUCUUAGUUUGGGUUCACCCAAAGGCCAAUCCUGAGUUAAGAAUUCAAGUGCAAGUAGUUUAAGUGGGGGCUGUAGGAAAACACUUUAGGGGAGGAGGGAAGGAAGACAGGGCAGCCAGGUAUCUUAUGAGCUAGUUACUAGCUCUGGGUGACUGGAGCGUAGUCUUCAAGCUUGUCCUCUAGAGCAGAGUUUCUCACUAUUGACAUUUAGGGGUGGAUAAUGCUUUGUUGUGGGGGAUGUCCUGAGCAUUAUAGGGUGUUGAGCAGCAUCCCAGGUCUCUAUCCAUAGAUGUCCAUAGCACGCAACCAAAAAUGGCUCCAGAUACUGCCUUGGAGUCCCUUGGAGGGGAAGAAUUGGCCUGGUUAAUAAUCAGUGUUCUAGAAUACACCCAGAAUUAUCCCGCCUCCAGGUGAGGUGAGGGAACUGGGAUCUACAUGCAAAUUUCUCCAUCCUUGGUUCAGAGCUGCUGCAUAAGUCUUUGAAGGAUGCUCUGGGUCCAGUGCUGGCCCCUGGAAGUUGGCUAGUGCACACAGAAGCGGGAUGAGGGACUGAGGGGGCAGCACUUGCUCCCGUCUGUCUGCUCCUUUCACUCUGUGCAGACCAGUUCUCUCUCUUCCUCUGUCUACACAGUGAAAUAUGCUUCCCUACCAUGCCCAGCCACACACGUGAAUGCCACCAGUCUUGAAAUUCUAAUUCCGAGUUCCCAGGACAGUCAGUUUUGCCGCAUUUGGGUCAGGUGUUCAGUCUGGGCUAAUCAACGGUGACUGUAUAGGACAAAGAUGACAUUUCAAUUCAGUGCAAAAAGGCACAUUAGGAAACCGGAUGUGGAGGACAGCUGGGUUGAGGCAGGAAUGGGCAGUUAUUUCGCAAACACUUAUCAGGCCUGUGGAUGAACCUGCCUUAUCAGUAAACAAAAGAUGUCACGGCCAUCAAGCCACUGACCACUGCAGCAGCCCUGACUAUGUCCCCUGAUAGGAUUCAGGAUGGAAAAAAGCAGGAUAUUGGGCCUAGAUAGUUAAGGUUCAUACUGAAGGAACUUUUGAUGUUCCAACUACCUGUUUGUUUUGUUUUCAAAAACUCCUAUACAGCUCGGCUCCUUCCUUACUCCUUUGGAACAUUCCCUCAGAGCUGUGUGAGAGUCUGUCUUCUGAGCUUAAGUCCUCAGGAAGUUGCGGAAGAAAAUAUAAUUCUCAAAUUUUCCGGGAGUUCCUGUUGUGGCGCAGCAAAAACGAAUCCGACUAUAUCCAUGAAGAUGCAGUUUCCAUCCCUGGCCUCACUCAGUGGGUUAAGGGUAUGGCGUUGCUGUGAGCUGUGGUGUGGGUCACAGACAUGGCUCAGUUCCGGCGUUACUGUGGCUGUGGUGUAGGCUGGUAGCUGCAGCUCUGAUUCACCGCCUAGCCUGGGAAUUUCCAUAUGCUGUAAGCGUGGCCCUAAAAUGCAAAUCUAUCCAUCUAUCCAUCUGUCCAUCUAUCCAUGUAUCCAUGUAUCCAUCUACCCAUCUAUCUGUCUAUCCAUCUGUCCGUCUGUCUAUCCAUCCAUCCAUCCAUCCAUCCAUCCAUCUAUCUAUCCAUCUAUACUUUUGGAUUAUGCAUUUUUUUUUCAGUCGACGGGCCUCUUGAUGUGUGAGGCUAUGUGAAGGUACAUAGGCAUGUCAGAGGACUCAUAGAGUGAAUGGGGUCUGCACUUACAGAUAGAACUGAUGCCUUUGGGGAGGACAUGGUAGGAAACACCCCCCCCCCCCCCCCCGCCACAUACACACACCUUGUGCCCAGGUGAGUCAUUGUCCCAGGAGAGCAGGAAGACAAGGUGGAAUAGUUGUCUUUCCAUGUGCACACUCUACGUGAACAGCAAAGUGGACAUUUGGGUGGGCGAGGGCAGUUUUCCAGCCGGACCUCACGAACAAUUUAGGCCUCACUGACAAAUCCUUUGAGGACUUUUCUUGUCUUCCAAGGGGCUGCAUGAUCUGUCAGGCAGAGGGGAUAGUAUUUGACAAAGGGGGAGGCAAUUCAGGGAGAAAUGUCCUUGUCUGGCAGUCUCAUCUGUUUGCUGUCCUGCAAUAAAGGAAGGCCAGAUCAUAGGGACCCUGACUCCCAGCCCCUUUCAUUGCCAGCCCCAUUCUUUUUUUUCCCCAAGAUAAUUAAAGAGACAAAGAUUGGGAACAGUGAUUCUUUAGUAGACCUGGGUGUGAGGAGCUAUUUCUUAGCUCUGAAGCCUGUCUUUACCUUUGUGUCAAGGUCAUGAUCCUCACAGCUGUUGCUCGCCUAUGGCUGAGCAUGUCUAGGAGACUGAGCUAGGCCUGUUUCUGGGAGACAAGAGUUUUUUCUGAUGGUCUACUUUUUUUUUCUUUUUAGGGCCGCACCUACAGCACAUGGAAGUUCCCAGGCUAGGGAUCGAAUUGGAGGUACAGCUGCCGGCCUACGCCACAGCCACAGCAACUUGGGAUCUACGUUGCAUCUGUGACCUAUGCUGUAGCUUGUGGCAACGCUAGGGAUCCAAUCGGAGCUGUAGCCACUGGCCUAUGCCAGAGCCACAGCAACGCAGGCUCUGAGCCACAUCUUCGACCUACACCACAGCUCACGGCAAUGCCGGAUCCUUAACCCACUGAGCAAGGACAAGGAUCAAACCCACAACCUCAUAGUUCCUAGUCGGAUUCGUUAACCACUGAGCCAUGACAGGAACUCCACUGGUCAGGUUCUUAACCCACUGAACCACAACAGGAACUCAGCUCCAGAGUUUCUGAUUGCCUUGCCAAACCUUCUUUGGACUGCUGGCCCUCUUGGAGGCUUCCACCCUCCCCUCUCUCAGGACUCCUGCCUGGCCAUCUGGCGACUCUCUCAACUUUCCCAGCUCCCUCCCUAUAUUAUCUCUUAAGACCUAUUUCCCCUAAUACAGUUUUCACCCAUGUAAUCCCAUCUUGGUACCUGCUUCUCAGUGAGCCAGAUCAAUACAGAUGACCAUGUAAUUUAUACUUCAAACUGAGAUACUUUUGAGAUGAGAGAAAAAAGUGCUAAAUGCUAAAAAAAUAACAGUAGUAAACCAGGGCGGCUUAGAGAAACCUAAACAAAAAAUUUUUGGAGAUAUCCUGAAUGCUUUGAUUGCGAUUCCUGAAGACAUGAGAGAAGCUGAUAGCAGGGACUUGGCUUGGUAAAUAGAAAACAGGAGAAUUCACCCAUUUGAUUCCAGCAAGUGACUAUUUUGGUUCAGGUAACAUUUGUAGAGUGACUUUUAUGUGCCAAGAAAGAGGCUGAGCAUAGAAGAUGAUUAAGACCUAGUCUCUGUUCUCAGGUAGCUUGUGGUCCAGCAGGGGAGGCCCACAUGAUUUCAUUGUUUUACUGAAAGAAGAUUCUGGUAAGGCAGAGUGUUGGCAGUGGGACUAACUCCACUGUAUACAGACAGGAACCUACUCCAUCUAAUAAUUUCUAGUACCUUCCUGGGAGGCAGUGUUGGCGCAGGAAAAGGGGCCUGGAUAAGCUUUGGAGGUCUCCUUUAUGCCAAUAGAAGAAUGAGAGGGAUAAUGAUAAAAGCAAGGCAACUGAGUCUUCUAUUCUAGUUCUAGGAGGAAGUGCUAUGUAUCUCUAGCACUUUUUUUUUCUGUUUUAAUUUAGUAAGAAAGCAGGUUUGACCCCUCCCCCCAACAGCUCUGGAACAUACACAGUGAAUAGACUCAAGGUGUGUCUUCUGGAGUUCGCAUCGUGGUGCCGUGGUUAACGAAUCUGACUAGUAACCAUGAAAUUGCGGGUUCGAUCCCUGGCCUUGCUCAGUGGGUUAAGGAUCUGGCGUUGCUGUGAGCUGUGGUAUAGGUUACAGAUGCGGCUCAGAUCUAAUGUUGCUGUGGCCAUGGCUCUGGCUAGCAGCUGUAGCUCCAAUUGGACCCCUAGCCUGGGAAUCUCCAUAUGCCAGGGGUGCAGCCCUAGAAAAGACGAAAAGACAAAAAAAAAAAAAAGAUGUAUCUUCUGAGGAAUUCCUAUCUUGUACACGUGUAGAGAGUCAAAUCACCUGAGCCCUUAUGUGCCCUCCAAGGCAGCUCACAGUCAGCCAAUCCUGAAUGAAUGAAACUCAGACAAGCAGCCAGGUAGUUGGCCUCUUUUGGGCUCUGUUUAAGACGCCUUUCCUCUGGAGCAGCUGGUGCUACCAGGUUUUCUGGCAAAGUGGCUCUUUCUACAAGUAGGGCUGGGGAAAAGCAUAGCACAAUGAAAAAAAAAUAACUUGAACAAAAAACACUUGAAUAAACAGAUGCCUGAUUUACUCCUCCAGCCUUUUCGUUGGCCUCAUGAUGCCUGACAAAAAGUGAUGGCUGGGCUAAGAUGAGGCCAGCAAUAUGUCACCCGACCAAGCUGAGACCUCAGGGGAAGGAAAAGGCAUUUAGCUCUAAGUGCAGCCAUGGCGCUGCAGCAAGACUAGGGCCUUGUAGCUCCGGCAGCUCCCUCUCCUCCUUCUUUCCACAUGAUUCAAUUUCAUGCCAUUUGCAAUCGUGAGACAAAAGAACGUUCCAAAUUCCAGGCCCCCAUCCUGAAGCACCCUUUGUCAGCCCAGGGGAGGAAACCUAGAAGCCUCAUGCAUUCCUCCGGCAGUCAGGGGUGAUUUCAAGGGAUGGAACCAGACUCUGGGUUUUCAACUUUUAACCCCAAUGGAUGGGAAAUCUCUUGAACUUGAAAAAAAGCCUUCAUGCUUUUAGAAAGAAUGUUAAAAAAAAAAAAAAAAA
rnacentral:lncRNA from 1 species